UACGUAGGCAGCGAGCGUUGUUCGGAGUUACUGGGCGUAAAGAGUGCGUAGGCGGUUUCGUAAGUUUGGUGUGAAAUCUCCCGCUUAACUGGGAGGGUGCGCCGAAAACUGCGGGGCUGAGAGUGGGAGAGGUAAGCGGAAUUCCUGGUGUAGCGGUGAAAUGCGUAGAUAUCAGGAGGAACACCAGCGGUGUAGACGGCUUACUGGACCACGACUGACGCUGAGGCACGAAAGCGUGGGGAGCAAACAGG
rnacentral:rRNA from 1 species